rnacentral:rRNA from 1 species
ACUCCUACGGGAGGCAGCAGUGAGGAAUCUUGCGCAAUGGGGGCAACCCUGACGCAGCAACGCCGCGUGAGUGAGGAAGGUCUUCGGAUCGUAAAGCUCUGUCGGAUGGAAAGAACCGCACAGGGGCAAACAGCCCCUGUGUCUGACGGUACCGUCAAAGGAAGCACCGGCUAACUCCGUGCCAGCAGCCGCGGUAAUACGGGGGGUGCAAGCGUUGUUCGGAAUUAUUGGGCGUAAAGAGCGUGUAGGCGGCCGGAUAUGUCAGAUGUGAAAGCCCUGGGCUUAACCCAGGAAGUGCAUUUGAAACUGUCCGCCUCGAGUAGGGGAGAGGGAAGUGGAAUUCCUGGUGUAGAGGUGAAAUUCGUAGAUAUCAGGAGGAACACCGGUGGCGAAGGCGACUUCCUGGCCCUAUACUGACGCUGAGACGCGAGAGCGUGGGUAGCAACCAGGAUUAGAUACCCUGGUAGUC